CAGGACUGUCCCAUACUCUUAAAACUAAAGAAAAUGGGAUCUAGAUCAAGUGAUGACUGAUGGGAUUAUUGACUCAGGAGCCUAUGGAUGUUUCAUCGACCACCAUGUUGUAAAAUCUAAUAAAAUACCCACUAUUCAAAAGCA